rnacentral:rRNA from 1 species
GGAGUCUAACAUGUGCGCGAGUCAUUGGGCAUUUCUAAACCCAGAGGCGCAGUGAAAGCGGGGCGAGUCCCUUCCGGGGGACUUCGCCGUGGGAGGAUGGAGUCGAGUUCACCGGCCCCCUUAAGGAAGGGCCGGCGGCUCCCGCACUCCCGGGGCGCCUCGGCUUCUAGCCGGAGGCGCACCCAGAGCGUACACGUUGGGACCCGAAAGAUGGUGAACUAUGCCUGGCCAGGACGAAGUCAGGGGAAACCCUGAUGGAGGUCCGCAGCGAUUCUGACGUGCAAAUCGAUCGUCAGAGCUGGGUAUAGGGGCGAAAGACUAAUCGAACCAUCUAGUAGCUGGUUCCCUCCGAAGUUUCCCUCAGGAUAGCUGGCACUCGUUUGGUGAGACGAGUCUCAUCCGGUAAAGCGAAUGAUUAGAGGCCUUGGGGCCGAAACGACCUCAACCUAUUCUCAAACUUUAAAUGGGUGAGAUCUCCGGCUUGCUUGAACACAUGUUUUGAAGCCGCGAGUUUCUCGAAUCUAGGAUCGGAGUUGCCAAGUGGGCCAUUUUUG